rnacentral:rRNA from 1 species
AUUGAACGCUGGCGGCAUGCCUUACACAUGCAAGUCGAACGGUAACAGGUCUUAGGAUGCUGAAGAGUGUCGGACGGGAGAGUAAUACAACGGAACGUGCCCGCUCGCGGGGGACAACGGAGCGCAAUCUUUGCUAAAACCUCAUACGACCUAAGAACGAAAGCCAGAGGCUUAAAGGCUUAAAGCGGCAGUAGCGUCCGUUGGGGGAUUAGGAAGUUGGUGGGAUAAAAGCUUACCAAGCCGACGUCCUGUAGCUGCUUGGAGAGGACGACCAGCCACACUGGGACUAGGAAACGGCCCAGACUCCUACGGGAGGCAGAAGUGGGGAAUUUUGGACAAUGGGCGAAAUCCUGAUCCGGCCAGGCCGCGUGCAGGAUGAAGGCCUUCGGGUUGUAAACUGUUUUUGUACGGAACGAAAAGACUCUUUCUAAUAAAGAGGGUACAUGACGGUACCGUAAGAAUAAGCACCGGCUAACUACGUG